UAAAUGCAGGAGCAACCUGACACUUGCCCAGACCCUGGCUGUGCCACAGUGAGAAGCUGCAGGGGUCUUAUGAAAAGAUGACCAGAAAGCUUCCUCGCUCCUUCUCAUCUCAGCUUCAGCCUCAUUCGUCACCCAGUUCUCCUCCCUCUCACCAUCGGCAAGGCCACCUUCCUAUCCUGACCACUCCAUCUGCCAGCCUUCAGCCUGCUCUCCAAGACCCACCCCUCUCUGUUUUCCGCCCUACUUCCUUCCCUCCUCUGACAGCCCCUUCCUACUACCCUUCCUUGAGGAUCUCUAUGCCCAGCACCUCCAGACUUUCAGCUAAGCGCACUGUUCGUCUUCCUCCCCUCUCCUGUUACUCCUCCAUCCUCGUCCCAACUCCUCCCAACAGCCCUGCUGAAUAAUAUAGUUCCCUUCUCUCUAGUCCCCACCUUCUUACCCACCCACCCACCCCCAGCCACAUCAGGAGAGCCACCAGUUCCAUCUUGGGGAGGAGCUUCCCUACCGCUGUUGCCAUUCAGAAGUACCAAGACUGUGAGCACCAGGAAGCUUGACCUUGUAAUCAAGGAAUACAGGACCAUGGAGCAUAUCUGGAGCACAUCCCAGAGUAAAGGCCUGGCUCCCAGGGUGGAGAGAACACACAUGGACGGGUCCCAUCCUUCACUUUCCUAGACACCUGUGGCAAGCUCACCUUACGUGACAGGAAGGACCAGUGUGGCUGGUUGCUGGGACAAUCUUGCUUCAGACCCUUUUGGAUUCUGCAGAUAUAGACUGUUUGUCCAAAUUGGAAGAAGUCUGGAGUAUUCCGUGCCUGCUCAUUAUAAGCCUGGGAACAAUGUCAUCAAGUGACACUGGUGACAAUCUAGGAAAUUAUACUCCCCAAAACAUUACAUCCAGGUGCUGUAGACUUGUGAGAUGUGUCUCAGCUGGUUUCAAGAUGAUGGCUGGGGACAGAAGAAGCUCGAGGAGCCUCGGCAAGGGUGGGAAACCCUCACCUUGUUCAAGAAGAGUACCCCCAACUUCAAUAUGGGGACACGCUGAGUAGGCAUCUCAGCAUAUUUCCUUAUAUUUGCUUAAAAUAUGUUGGUUAUGUUUAUUGCAACGAUAUCAUUUCUGUCAAA